GCGCGGAGCUGUGCUGUGGGCAGAGCAGAGCAGAGCCCAGCCGAGUCCAUCCAAGCCGGGAGUGUCGGGGCUGGAGAGCUGCUGUCGCUUCUGCGAGCCGCGGGGCGCACAGACACAGCGCAGGGCGCAGGGCUGCGCUGCUUGGGGCGGGCGCGGCUCGCCUCCCUCGCCUCUCCGUCCCUCCCUCGCUCCCUCGCCUCGCCGGAGACAUGCAGGCGGAGUCGGGGAUCGUGCCGGACUUUGAGGUCGGCGAGGAGUUCCACGAGGAGCCCAAGACCUACUAUGAGCUGAAGAGCCAGCCGCUGAAGAACAGCAGCUCUGAGCACCCUGGAGCUUCGAAGCCCCCGCUAAGCUCCUCCAGUAUGACAUCACGGAUUUUGCUACGACAGCAGCUCAUGCGUGAGCAGAUGCAGGAGCAGGAGCGCCGAGAGCAGCAACAGAAACAGCAAGCAGCCCAGUUCAUGCAGCAGAGAGUGGCGCUGAGUCAGACACCAGCCAUCAACGUCAGCCUCCCAGCCAGUCUCCCUCCUGCUACUCAAGUGCCAAUGGAAGUCCUCAAGGUGCAGACUCACCUGGAAAACCCUACCAAGUACCACAUCCAACAAGCUCAACGGCAGCAAGUCAAGCAGUACCUCUCUACUACAUUAGGAAACAAGCACACCAACCAGGCGCUAAGCUUACCGUGCCCAAAUCAGCCAGGGGAUCAUAUUAUACCACCUGGCACUGGAAGCAGCGCACCAAACAGCCCGAUGGCCAUGCUUACGCUCAACUCCAACUGUGAAAAGGAGGGCUUUUAUAAAUUUGAAGAGCAAAGCAACAGGGUGGAGAAUGAAUGCCAGACUCUCAACACACAUUCUCGAGCAUCUUGCAUGCAGAUGGAUGAUGUAAUUGACGACAUUAUCAGUUUGGAGUCAAGUUAUAAUGAAGAAAUCUUUGGUUUAAUGGAUCCCGCCCUACAAAUAGCAAAUACGUUACCUGUCUCCGGCAAUCUUGUGGACCUCUAUGGCAAUCAAGGCAUGCCUCCCCCCGGACUCAACAUCAGCAACUCUUGUCCUGCCAACCUUCCUAAUAUAAAAAGGGAACUCACAGCAUGUGUAUUUCCAACAGAGUCAGAGGCGAGAGCGCUGGCCAAAGAGAGACAAAAGAAAGACAAUCACAAUUUGAUUGAACGAAGACGACGAUUCAAUAUUAACGAUCGUAUAAAAGAACUUGGCACUUUGAUACCCAAGUCGAACGACCCGGACAUGCGUUGGAAUAAGGGAACUAUUUUAAAGGCCUCUGUGGACUACAUCCGCAAGUUGCAAAGAGAACAGCAACGUACAAAAGAACUAGAGAACAGACAAAAGAAACUGGAACAUGCCAACAGGCACCUUUUGCUCAGAAUACAGGAACUUGAGAUGCAGGCUCGAGCACACGGACUCUCUAUCGUGCCGUCCACAGGCCUUUGCUCGCCCGAGAUGGUGAACCGGCUCAUCAAACAGGAGCCCGCCGUUGACAACUGCAGCCAAGAGGUCCUGCAGCGCCACCCCGACCUGUCUUGCACAACCACUCUCGACCUUACCGAUGGCACCAUCACUUUCAACGACAGCCUGGCCAAUGUGACUGAGUCAGCUGCCGGCACUUAUGCUGUCCCUACGAAAAUGGGCUCCAAACUGGAAGACAUCUUGAUGGACGAUACCCUCUCUCCUGUUGGGGUGACCAACCCGCUCCUUUCCUCAUUGUCUCCCGGGGCGUCGAAAACAAGUAGCCGAAGGAGCAGUGUGAGCAUGGAGGAAUCUGACCACGCUUGCUAGUGAAUGCAAAUUAGAAAGGCUCUUUGUGGACUUCUUUGUUUCUUGAUCAGUAGAUUAAGUAAUUUGCUCUGUUUUCUUAAUAACUAUCUUUUAAUAUAAACCUUCAAAUAGCCCAGUGUAUGUGACUUUUUUAAUGUUUGCAGAGACUUGUAUAUUUUAUUUUAAAACUACCAAUGCUUCCAAAGUAUUGUACUGCAUCUGUGAACCAGAUUCGCCAAGAGCUCCAAAGUGAGCUCAUGUCUACUUGAAAGCAAUAGAGUUAGACUGAUCGCCAAGUCCAUGAUCCACAAAAGGUGAAACUUCCUGCAUAACUGUAAAUGAUACCCAUUGACGUGGAAAUGAAACGUAGAAGAAUGUAAAGAAACCAAAAAAAGGACUAGCUUUGUAAAACUAUUUUUUUGUGUUGACUUAAUAGUGCCUCCUUUUAAAGAUACAGUACUUGUUAAUCCAAUUUAAUCUUUCCCAAGGCAUUAAAUAUAAUAUGUAUGUCAGCGGGUCACCUGUACAGAAAUUAACUCAUGGUGAUCUUGAACAAAGUACAAGCUAGAAUGAAGUAGGGAGAGACACAGAGAGAUAUUUAAUGACAUUAGCAAGUGGUUAUUUUUGUUCUGGUCUCCGGUGAGUGGACAACCUUCUAAAUCAUGGUUCAGGGUGUGUGUUUUUUAAGAAAUCACUUUUAGUCAUGGUAAGAAAUCUACAGUAUACUGGUAUUUUAACAAUGCAAGACUGGUGAAUAUUUCAAGCUCUUAAAAAAAUCUUAGUACCCUCUGUCAAUUGGAUAUAACCAAUUGGAUUUUGGUUUUUUUUAAUUGCAUUGUACAGUUACCUGAUUUGCAUGAAUUUUUCACUUUUUUCCCAUUCUGAGUACAUUUGUAUUUUAUUUGUAAGAAAAUGCCUCUAGUUAUCGCAAUGAUUUUAUUUUUAACAUUUUAAAACCCCACAAAGGGGGUUGUUCUGCAUUCUUUGUACACACUUCAAAGUAAGCUUUUGUGCAGGUUCCUGUCUUUUCAAGAGUGAUUUUGUGACUAUUUUAUAUAUUACAGUCUCACUUGGAAGAAAUGUUUUGACACCGACAGAGCUUUAAAUCAUAGUACAGAUUUAGGUCUAGUUAACAAGACGAUGCUCUGCAUUUAAAAAAACAUAAAAGGAAAAAGGAAAAAAAACACAACCCCAAACUUAACGUAUUUAUUUUUAGUGAUACAGGACAAAUAGAAAUAUGCUUGAGAAACACGGUUGCUAUAUCCUUUAGUGCGCUGUCAGAUUUUUCAGGUUGAAAGAGGAUUUUACUAUAUCUGCAGGUAUUAACUGUUACUUGAUCCCAACGUUGUCAAGUUUAACCAUGCAACAGUGUUGUCGUGAGAGCAUGUUCCGUGCAUUAUCUUCUCCAGCGUAGUCCUAUGCAAUAACAGUAGUGAUACUUGUAUGAUUGUCAUGCCUAAAUAUUUUAUACAGUGGUUGUGUGGUCUUACCAGUUGAGCAAGUGAUUUGCUUCCCGCCCUAGCAGCCACCCAGCUGACUUGCAAAUGGCAGGGAAGCAUAUCUCAUUCAGAGUGAAGUGCCUUAAAUUUAGCCGUAGUCUCCGUGAACUAGCACUGACUGAAGUGUGCGACCCAAGACGGUUUGGGAGGAGGGGAUUGCUGAUGGUGGCUGAUGGGUGGGGCACAGCGCUCGUGACGUGAAGCAAGAGCACCCAACUCUUUCACCCAAGCCUGUAUGAAUUCUGACACUAUUUCUUGGACUUCUUUUCUGCUCCAGCUUUGUAUCUGUGCUUUGGAAACCCAAGCUAUAGGCAGCUGAUAGUUCUUCAGAACGCUAGGGUGAAAGCAUGGCGACAAUCAGGAUAUGUUAAGGUAGAUGAGUCUCAAAAGCAAACAGCUGCUGUGUAGUUUGGUUAAACAUCUGUGAAACCACUAAGGCCAAAUCAUGCUCCUUUGUAAGUGCACCACUAACUUGGGGGAGCAAGACCUGGGCCUCAUCUUUGCAUCGCCAAGAAUCCACAUAGACCUGCCUUCCCUAAGUUGGCUCCCUCCAGAUGUUUUGGACUACAACUUGCAUCAACCAGCAUGGAGUUGGGGAACACUGGUCUAAAACACCUGGGGUGCACCAGAUUGGGAAAGGCCAUUGUAGACCAAAAAAGAGAGAGAAAUAACCAGAGGUGGGAACUCUAGUUUGAAGGAUCAGGAAGCCAUUUUCUCCUAACCUCAAAAUAUCUUCCAACUCAAUAAUUGCAUGUGUUAGGGGUCCCCCCUCCAUUUUGACUAUUAUCUGGCCAGUGGUAAUGGUCACAGGUGACUGUUAAUGUAGGAGUCAAAAUUUGAACUGCCUUAGUGCUGACAGCGCAAUCCUAACCAUGGCUGCUUGGAAGUAAAUCCAACUGAAUGGGGCUUACUCCCAGGUAAGCGUGAUUGGGAUUGCAGUGUUAGCUUUCACAGCGAGUUAAGAAUCCUGACCUGUUUCUUCUUUCUUUCUUUGGCGAUCACUCGUAGCCGAGUAAGAUUGUCUUCCAUAAACACGGUUUUAACAAUGAGUCCGUAAGUGACUGUGGAGGCAAGCGGGUGUUUGGCCCAUCAUUAGCAAUGUGGUGCAAGUUACAGCUCAUGAAAGGUUUGUUGCCAUCUACAAGUGAUGGAGUACCUGUGGUCUUCUAGAUGUUCCAACUCCCAUCUUACUGGACCUCUAGCCAUGCUAAUGGAGCUGGAAUCUAAGAACAUCUGGAGGACUACAGGUUCCCAAUCCCUAAGGCAUACUAGCAGCUGGAAGCUAGUUAGAAUUUCAUUGUGGAAAGGAAGCUUAUUUUCCCCCCUGAUAUGGGAAAACGGGGUUCAAAUUUUAUCCCAGUCUGCUUCAGUGAAGUCUUGAUCCUUAACAAUGCAAGUGGCCUGUAUCUUUAGAAGUAAAAAGUAGAGAACUACAGCUGUGUGUACCCUGUACAUAUUAGCUUUUCUAGAUAUUGGCUUCUUUUUUUACUUCAAUGCAAACCAUGUAAAAUAGGCACAUUAGGCAAGCUUACAUAUUUGCUUGUUUUGCACAAUCUAUUAUGUUUCAUUUGUCAUUGGGACAAGGUGUCUACUUUAAGUGGGCAUGUUGAAGCUCAGACCUACCCCCAGCCCUGUUCCUCAGAACACUGGACAUCCUUUCUCAGGUUUCAGGCAUUAUUUAUUUUCCCACACUGUCAAGCCUGUCUUUGCACAGCAAGGACUAGAAACCUGCUUUUAACAACGAUAACAACAGCAGCCUAAGAUUUUAUAGGAUGCUUUGUAUCAUGUUUAGGUACCAUAUUUUGUGGUUACAAAUACAAAGCCCUGAUUAGUAAUAACAAAUGAGACAUAGUGCAACUGUUCAGUUAAGAAAAGCUUUUUUGCCAGUGUUCAAUUCAGCAGUGUUUUUGGGUCAAGAAAUAAAGGUUUAGUGUACCACUUGGGUCCUGAUAAAAUUGAACCCUACUCUGUGACUGAAUUGCAAGUGUGCUUUGCCAUGGCACAUUGGGAAAUGCAAACUUCCUAGUUUCUCUUGGAUCAGAUUUAUGGCUCUUUUCAGCUGGAUCAUGCAUUUCCAAAAUCCCUUGGGCUUUCUCAACAUUGCACGUCAACAUUCUCCUUGGUUGUUUUUUUCUCUCCUCAAAUUAUGUUUGGAGCCCCUCUGUUUUUAAGGUGGAGUUUUCAUAUCACCCACAUUGAAAUCUUUUGGAGUGAGUAGGACUUCCAGAAUUGCAAGCUUGGAAUUAAGGUCUUGAAUGAAGCCGUUUUAUUUGUUUUAUUUUGAACCAAGAGCUGCGGAACUGUUAGGCCUUAAAAGUGUGGUGCUUCUACAGGGGAAGAGAUGCUGGAGACACUUGCCAAGUGGUAGGAAAUCAUGGAGCGUGUGGCUGUUCUGAUAUUUCUUCAAACCACAAUGAUUACACAAGCCCAGAUGCCAAAACCGGGGAGCGAGUCAUGACACGGCUAGCUAGGUAACACAGAGUACCAAGCAAUUUUAACUGUUGCCAAAACCAUGCAAGAUAUAUUAGUGCCAUGAACAUGUUCCUUACUACUUUUAGAUAGAUAGAUAGAUAGAUAGAUAGAUAGAUAAAGCAAUAUUAACUCUGAUGCCUAUAAAGCCUUUAGGAAGCAUAUAUGGAGAAAAAUAAACAAAGCAAAGCACAAAAUAAUGCACUUACCAUUUUUAUUUUUAUUUUUUUUUGGACAUAAAAUGCACUGGUGAAAAAUGGAAAUUGAUGGUAUCAAAGGCCUCUGUAUCUUGAAAAAGUGACAUAAAUGACUGCCUCUUGUUCUGGAUGCUUAGUACCAUGCUGUUAGUGAUCUUUUCACCUGCUGUCGGCCACAGCAAUAAGUUGUGUAUGGUCCAUCGCACUGUAAAUUAUGGAUCAAUAUUAAUGUAAGCCAAUUAAAUAAUUUGAACUGUU